GACAGAGGUGCCGAGCGUUAGGCGGAAUCACUGGGCUUAAAGCGUGUGUAGGCGGGUCGUUAAGUACCUUGUGAAAUCCCCCGGCUCAACCGGGGAACGGCUGGGUAUACUGGCGAUCUUGAGCCACCUAGGGGCAGUCGGAACAAGUGGUGGAGCGGUGAAAUGCGUAGAGAUCCGGAAGAACACCGGUGGCGAAGGCGGCCUGCUGGGCAGUUGCUGACACUGAGGCGCGACAGCGUGGGGAGCAAACAGG
rnacentral:rRNA from 1 species